rnacentral:misc_RNA from 1 species
AACGCACAUUGCGCCCUCUGGUAUUCCGGAGGGCACGCCCGUCCGAGCGCCGUAUCAUACCUCGAGCCCCGGCUCGGUGUUGGGCCAUGCCCGCGAGGGCCGGCCUCGAACCGAUCGGCGUCACCGGCGGAGGCCCCAGCGCAUCGAGCUCCGGCCCGCGCUCUGGGGGUCCGCCAGUGGCCGCCCACCGAAACUUACCCGUGAAAACGGCCUCGGAUCGGGCGUGGUUACCCGCUGAACUUAA